CAUUACAAUUUUUUCUGCCGUGCCGUUGCAUUGGAUAUUGGAUAUACAUAGUGAUAGCCGUAACUGAUAACUGUAGGAUCCAAUUGUCUAUUACCACAACACAGACGAGCAUCGCGUAUACACACAAGAAAGACCGCUUUUGGCCAAACAGAAGCCAACGAAUUUUUUGUUAAAGCGAAUGAAAUAAGUUUCAACGGCAUACGUACAUAAAAUAUAAAAAUAUCUUUCGCACUACUUUGGCCGGAAAGUACCAUUUUUGUUGUUGUUUGAAUCAAUAAAACUGUGUGUGUGCAUGCACGCCCGCAUCUAACGCGCAGCCUCCGUCCACCAGCCACCAGCCCAAAAUCUGCAGUAGACGCCCCAUUCCGCAUUGCAUCUGGAACCCACCCGUCCGUAUUCCGUUUUGUUGAAUAUUAUUGCGGAGAAGCACCAAAAACAGAACAGCACGAGGCCACAUUUCGCAUUUGUAGGCCAGAGUAAUCAGGAGAAGCAACAGCAACAGCCACAGCAACAGCUACAGCUACAGAAUGGCGGACUUCCGUUUCGAUAUUAGGCCAUUGUUUCCUGAGCCGAUUGUCAGGGUGACCUCGAACCUCCUGCCGCACACUUUUCGCGGCGAUCGGCGUCAGUGCCUAGACGCCACCUCGAAGAUGUCGGAGAUUAUCGACCGUCUGGGAGAGCUGUCGGCCACGUCGCAGGGCCUGUCUAAGCCGGUGACCACGGCCCAGCGUCUGCGGAUGUCCGAGAACCAGACCAUCUAUCUGCUGGCUGAUACCGAGGCAGGACACAAUGGAGCUGUGACUGGGCUGCUCAAGGUGGGGAACAAGGAUCUGUAUCUGUUCGACGAGGCCGGUCAGACGCGCAAGGUGGAGCGGGCACCAUCCAUUUUGGACUUCUAUGUGCACGAGUCCCGCCAGCGUACUGGUCUGGGCAAGCGUCUGUUCGAGACCAUGCUGAGGGAGGAGAACUGGACCCCGUUGAAGUGCUCGGUGGACAGGCCGUCGGAGAAACUGCUGGCCUUCUUCGGCAAGCACUACGGCCUGGUGCGCACCAUUCCGCAGUCCAAUAACUUUGUCCUGUAUGAGGGAUACUUUAAUGAAGCCAACUCCUCGAGUGGCCAUGCCCACGCCCAGUCUUCGCAGGAGGCCAAAAACGAACUGCACAUUACAAACAGUCCUAACACACAACUCUUUGGUGCUACUUACUUGGGCGAGGAAGUCAACCACAGGCGACACGGCUCCCAGCAGCAGAAGCAGACCCCGAAUGUGCUGCUGCAGCAAAUAACACAGAUCUCACCAAACGGACGGUAUGGCGCCAGGCACCCCACCUGCACCAUGGCAGAGAUAAUUUCUGGAAUCUCGAAGGUCAGCACCAAAGGCGCAGGUGGCACCGGCAAUGGAGAGUCGAGCAGCGGCGGCCAUGCCGAUGGCAACAACAUCGCAGAGGAGAUGACCGCCCAAAUGGACUUGCAUCACCUGGAGGACCAGCAGCAGGCACACGGGCACAUGAACACCAAACGUAUGGACCUGCAGGAAGUCGCCGACCAGGAGGAGGCACACUUCAUUCGGUACGGGCUGCCACCACAGAUGGAUGCACAGCCCGAGUUCGAACCAGAGCCGGAGCCAUUAACACCACCAUCACCGCCGGAGGUGGCCGAGAGCAUCAUCGGGGAGAACCGUAGGCCUGCGGGGUUCCAUCUCAGCAAGCAGCACACUGGAAUGAAGAAUCGCUCCUCUGGCGUGGGCAUGGCUGUGAUGCCCACCAGCAAGAUGGAGUUCAACCAGGAGGAGCGCGAGGACUUCGGCGUGGUCAAGAUAAAUCGUCCGCCGGGACACAAUGGCCACUCGCUGGGCCACGACAACACAGACGCCGUGUCCACGGUGUCCUCCGGCAACGGCGGUCACCUCACCAACGAGGGCUACAACGAUCUUAAGUUCUAUCACAACAGAUUGUGGUAAGGGAAGGAAGACGGCCCCCCUCUCGGAUCUUUUGUACGUGGCAUAUUAAGCAUAAUCAAGCAGAUUUAACCAACAAUUUAGAGAGUUAGCAUGUACUACUUAACCAGGCCUAGGCAAAACACAACCUACUACACAAACCACAACCAGACGGUUCCUGUACUUCAGUUCGAUCAUUUUGUUGUGAGCUUCUUCAAUGUUUUGUUGAAUCGUUCAUUUGUUACAAGCCUCGCACCCGGAACAGCAACGUAUCCGUUUCCGUAUCCGUAAUUUAUAGCGUCACAAUACAAUACAAUGUUAACAAUAGCGAAAUUAGCAGUCAUGUAUACUGAACCAUAUUUUACGGCUAUAAUCUCAAUUGGGGUCCAGUCACAUAAUUCAACCCAAUGUGUGUAUCUUCCAAUUGCAGCAAACGUGAAUAUUACGAGCAACUAUAUGGCGACUAUAUGCUAUAACCAACCGCCCCCCGCCCCUCCCCCCAAAAUAUAUAAUCUCUAAUCAACAUUCCCGAAUGAAAAUUUGUCUUAAAUUUUAGUUAAUAGCGCCCAAAUAAAGCACAAUUUUUAUCGAUUCUAUUUGCCGAGUA
rnacentral:misc_RNA from 1 species